UACGUAGGGUGCAAGCGUUGUCCGGAAUUAUUGGGCGUAAAGAGCUCGUAGGCGGUUUGUCGCGUCGGCUGUGAAAACUCGGGGCUCAACUCCGAGCCUGCAGUCGAUACGGGCAGACUAGAGUGCGGUAGGGGAGACUGGAAUUCCUGGUGUAGCGGUGAAAUGCGCAGAUAUCAGGAGGAACACCGGUGGCGAAGGCGGGUCUCUGGGCCGUAACUGACGCUGAGGAGCGAAAGCGUGGGGAGCGAACAGG
rnacentral:rRNA from 1 species